rnacentral:rRNA from 1 species
UACGGAGGGUGCAAGCGUUAUCCGGAUUCACUGGGUUUAAAGGGUGCGUAGGUGGGUCUGUAAGUCCGUGGUGAAAUCUCCGAGCUUAACUUGGAAACUGCCAUGGAUACUAUAGGUCUUGAAUACUGUGGAGGUCAGCGGAAUAUGUCAUGUAGCGGUGAAAUGCUUAGAUAUGACAUAGAACACCAAUUGCGAAGGCAGCUGGCUACACAAAUAUUGACACUGAUGCACGAAAGCGUGGGGAUCAAGCAGG